UGGUCCAGUGGUUUAGACUCCAUGCUUCUACUGCAGGGGGGCACGGGUUCGAUCCCUGGUCGGGGAACUAAAAUCCCACAGGCCAAGCAGUGUGUCCAAAAAAAAAAAAAAAAGAAGCAGUGUGAAAAAGUAAUGCAGUAUUCUGUUAGCAAGGAUAGGACAGAAAGGAAAAUGUCUGGCACCUAGUAUUUGCUCAGUGAUUAUUUACUCUCCAUCAGAAGCUUCAGAAUUGACACUGUUGAAGCUACAGAUGGGAACUACAGGACCAGAGGACUUGUCAGGAUUUUAAGCAAGCCUUUCACUGGGCGAGGGAGUUGCCAAGAUUGCCUGGGAUGUGCUGAAGAAUACUGAACUUUUAAUGCAUGCUUUAUUUUUAUUUAGUUCUAACCUAUUACCCUUUGAUGAAGGAAUUUGGCCAAAUAUAUUAGACAACAGCUUGUAUAAGUUACUAGGUUGUACAUUUUAUGAUGUUUUAUUGCUCCGUGUGUUUUACAUAAAUCACAUAUUUUAUGUUUUUCCCCCUUUGCUAAAGAGUUCUGCAAAACCAGCAGAUUGGAAGUAUCAAAAUGGACUAUCAGCUUCAUGGCUUUCUUUAGAGUGUACAGUAUAUAUUAAUAUUCAUGUCCCACUGUCUACUACUUCUGUCAGCUAUACUCUGGAGAAAAAUACAAAGAAUGGACUUAUACACUGGGCCAAGCAAAUAGAAAAUAGUAUUUAUUUGAUUAAUGGACAAGUUAAAGAUGGAGAUUGUGACCUAUUAGGAGGACAGAAAAAAUCUUCUAGAGGAAAUACUCAAGCAACUAAUCGUUCUUUUGAUGUCAGAGUGCUAACACAGUUG